UGAGACACUGAUGAGAUAUUGCUGAGUCAUUAAUGAGUCAUCAAUGAGUCACUGGUGAGAGACAUUGAUGAGACAUUGACACUGCUCACAUAGGAUGUGAAUAGAGGAACCAUCCUGACAGGUGUCUCUGCUUUGGAAAAAGCAGCCAAUUCAUCUGAAAGAGGAAGAAAAGUCAUUAUGUUAGCAGAGAAGCGAAGGUCUUAUCUGAACACAGUUGUUUUCAAACUUUCCUGGGCAAAGCAGUUACAUGGAGAAUUUGCUGUCAGUGAAGAUUUCUGAGACACCUCCACUCUCAGACUAAGGUUUUCCCAGCAUCAUGCACAACCUCACUAACUCCUUCCUGCACCUACGAAGGUGCAGAUUCCUGAGUCCUGCUGGGAUUGGGCUGAGACUCUGGAGGGGAAGCAAGUUCUGCUGGUAUCCUGUGCGUCCUGAAGACAAGAGACCACUGCCCCUAGUGAACCUCCAAGUCCACAGGCUUUGACAGCUCAGAGCCGCUCUGCAGCAGCCAUUUGUUGAACAACAAAGCAGUUAUCCUACAUACUCUGCUCAAGUUUAUAUUGCAAUCUUCUUUGGUGCAUAAAGAAAUGCAGUAUGUACCCCUCGUGGACAGAUUGGCCACAGGGGAUGUUGAAGCAACACUAGGAUGUCCAGCUUCCAGCUUUUGCUUCUUCUGGGAAGCCUUCCCUGAUUUUCCCCAAUUGGGCAGGAAUGACCAGGCAGCAAUCUGAUGGACACAGCAUGCACCUGAGAUCAUUGAUCCUGACCAUAUUCUUGUGAAGUUGGUUUUAUCAUUUCUUCUCGAAUAUGAGAAGAUGGUCUCAGAGGAAGGACCUUUGACCAAGGGCAGCAAGCGGAUAUGCGCUGAGCCGUGAUUCAGGCGCAGCUCUGUCUGAUGUCUCCGUGUUGCUGUGCUACAGUUCACCAGAGAUCAGAAAUACAAUAAAUACCAUGUUGACUAGCUUUUCA